GACGAACGCUGGCGGCGUGCUUAACACAUGCAAGUCGAGCGGAAAGGCCCUUUCGGGGGUACUCGAGCGGCGAACGGGUGAGUAACACGUGAGUAAUCUGCCCCUGGCUUUGGGAUAGCCACCGGAAACGGUGAUUAAUACCGGAUACGACCACUUCUCGCAUGGGAUGGUGGUGGAAAGUUUUUCGGCCAGGGAUGUGCUCGCGGCCUAUCAGCUUGAUGGUGAGGUAAUGGCUCACCAUGGCUUCGACGGGUAGCCGGCCUGAGAGGGUGACCGGUCACACUGGGACUGAGACACGGCCCAGACUCCUACGGGAGGCAGCAGUGGGGAAUAUUGGACAAUGGGCGGAAGCCUGAUCCAGCAACGCCGCGUGAGGGAUGACGGCCUUCGGGUUGUAAACCUCUUUCAGCAGGGACGAAGCGCAAGUGACGGUACCUGCAGAAGAAGCACCGGCCAACUACGUGCUAGCAGCCGCCGCGG
rnacentral:rRNA from 1 species